CCAAUUGAAUUUAAGCACAUUAGUUAGUGGAGAAGAAAUUUAACAAGGAUUCCAUCAGUAAUGGCAAAUGAACAUAGAAAAGCCCAAUGUUGAAUCCCUGCCCCACAGUUUCACUUUGGAAAUGUGGUAUAUAAAAGAACUGUUCCCCAGUGUUGCUGGUAGAGGACCUAAGUUCUUCUAAAUGAGGCCCAGCCCAUGGAUGGUAUGAGUACAGUAGCAGCUCCUAGAGCACUAGGCUUGGGUAUUACUGCAUUCAUUUUGCCUAAGGAUAUAGUUCAAAGUCAGUGGUAAACUCCACCUAAGACAACCCAGCACUAAAAUCAAUAUUCACUAAGUACCAUAAGGGAAAAUUGGAGAGAAUUUUGAAGAAAGAGUUCAAGAGCAUGUGAAACUGUUAAGAGGUAUGUAACCUCAGAUCAGAUAUGGUAACCCAUACCCUUGGCUACGGGUAGUGGCCCUGCUCUCUCACCCUGGAAACAAGGAGAUAGCCUUACCCUCUGAAGGCCAGAAGGUGAUACCCUCCAUCUCUACAGCCUGUGCGCUCAGGGUCUGUGAUGGCAGUUGCAGUCCUGAUGGCUUUUGAACCAUUCUUCAAUUUAUUAUUCCCUUUUUGCAAAAGAUAACGCAUGUUGACAUCC
rnacentral:ncRNA from 1 species